rnacentral:lncRNA from 1 species
AAAAUAGCGGCUUUUUGCUCCUGUCCUAGGAUUUGUACAUUCAAAGAUGAAUGCUGAAAUAAAGGAAUGGAAUGAAUGGAACGAAUGUGUCA